rnacentral:rRNA from 1 species
AUUGAACGCUGGCGGCAUGCUUUACACAUGCAAGUCGAACGGUAACAGGUUAAGCUGACGAGUGGCGAACGGGUGAGUAAUGCAUCGGAACGUGCCCGAUCGUGGGGGAUAACGCAGCGAAAGCUGCGCUAAUACCGCAUACGAUCUGAGGGAGAAAGGGGGGGAUCGCAAGACCUCUCGCGAUUGGAGCGGCCGAUAUCGGAUUAGCUAGUUGGUGAGGUAAAGGCUCACCAAGGCGACGAUCCGUAGCGGGUCUGAGAGGACGACCCGCCACACUAGAACUGAGACACGGUCCAGACUCCUACGGGAGGCAGCAGUGGGGAAUUUUGGACAAUGGGGGCAACCCUGAUCCAGCCAUUCCGCGUGAGUGAAGAAGGCCUUCGGGUUGUAAAGCUCUUUCGGCAGGAACGAAACGGUUUCCCCUAAUACGGGGGGCUAAUGACGGUACCUGAAGAAGAAGCACCGGCUAACUACGUGCCAGCCGCCGCGGUAA